rnacentral:rRNA from 1 species
AUUGAACGCUGGCGGCAGGCUUAACACAUGCAAGUCGAGCGGAGAUGAGGUGCUUGCACCUUAUCUUAGCGGCGGACGGGUGAGUAAUGCUUAAGAAUCUGCCUAUUAGUGGGGGACAACAUUCCGAAAGGAAUGCUAAUACCGCAUACGUCCUACGGGAGAAAGCAGGGGAUCUUCGGACCUUGCGCUAAUAGAUGAGCCUAAGUCGGAUUAGCUAGUUGGUGGGGUAAAGGCCUACCAAGGCGACGAUCUGUAGCGGGUCUGAGAGGAUGAUCCGCCACACUGGGACUGAGGCACGGCCCAGACUCCUACGGGAGGCAGCAGUGGGGAAUAUUGGACAAUGGGGGGAACCCUGAUCCAGCCAUGCCGCGUGUGUGAAGAAGGCCUUAUGGUUGUAAAGCACUUUAAGCGAGGAGGAGGCUACUGAGACUAAUACUCUUGGAUAGUGGACGUUACUCGCAGAAUAAGCACCGGCUAACUCUGUGCCAGCCGCCGCAGUAA